rnacentral:rRNA from 1 species
AGGACGAACGCUGGCGGCGUGCUUAACACAUGCAAGUCGAACGGAAAGGCCCUGCUUUUGUGGGGUGCUCGAGUGGCGAACGGGUGAGUAACACGUGAGUAACCUGCCCUUGACUUUGGGAUAACUUCAGGAAACUGGGGCUAAUACCGGAUAGGAGCUCCUGCUGCAUGGUGGGGGUUGAAAGUUUCGGCGGUUGGGGAUGGACUCGCGGCUUAUCAGCUUGUUGGUGGGGUAUGGCUUACCAAGGCUUUGACGGGU